rnacentral:lncRNA from 1 species
AACACCUUUAGUCUUCUGGAACUAAAAAUUCCUGUAGCCUCAACACAAUGCUCCUGUGGUGCUUAGAUCCCAGGAUCAAGGGAGCCUCAUGUGUUGCCUGGUCUGAGUGGCCCAAUGUGACUCCACAUGCACUGCCUGUUUGCCUCCACCUAAUGAAGAAAGUUUCUAGUUGAGCUGCAUCAUCAGCCACCUCCUCCUGGACAUUAUAUAUACACUUUAUAUUCUGCAUGAGAAGCAGAGUAUUAAUAAUUCCUUGUUUCAUAUAUUAAAAUAUUUAUUCUUCAUGUUCUUUCUACCCUCUCUUUCUUAGAUAUGGCAGUGAGUGAUGAAAAGAUAUGUCCUACAUUAAGAACUUUUCCAAGAAAUCCAGAAAUCUAC